UUGUUCGCUUCAGAAGCAUAUACACAAAAAAUUGGAACCCUACAGAAAAGAUUAACAUGGCCCCUGCACAACGAUGACAUGCAAAUUCAUGAAGCAAUCCACAUUUUU
ensembl:snRNA U6 U6 spliceosomal RNA